CCGAUUUCGGAUGUUUGAAGAUUUGUUUUGAUUGUCAAUGACUUUACAAGGAUACAUUGACGUCUCCUGCAUCGUGAGAUAUAAAGCCAUAGAAUACAUUCAUGCCACUCAAAUUCAGCCACUCAGAAUGAUGGAAAGGAUUGCAGAACUGAGUUUCACUCUCACCUGACUGAUGCAGAUUAAGUAACC